rnacentral:rRNA from 1 species
GACGGAGGAUGCAAGUGUUAUCCGGAAUCACUGGGCGUAAAGCGUCUGUAGGUGGUCAAAUAAGUCAACUGUUAAAUCUUGAGGCUCAACCUCAAAAUCGCAGUCGAAACUAUUAGACUAGAGUAUAGUAGGGGUAAAGGGAAUUUCCAGUGUAGCGGUGAAAUGCGUAGAGAUUGGAAAGAACACCGAUGGCGAAGGCACUUUACUGGGCUAUUACUAACACUCAUGCACGAAAGCGUGGGGAGCAAACAGG